CCUGUGUAUGAAAGAUAGGGAGUCGGACCUGCCCGGUGAAGUUUUUUAACGGCCGCGGUACUCUGACCGUGCAAAGGUAGCAUAAUCAUUUGCCUUAUAAUUGAAGGCUGGUAUGAAUGGUUUGACAAGAAUAUAGCUGUCUCUUUAUAAUUUGGUAGAAUUUUAUUUUAAGGUGAAAAAGCCUUAAUUCGAUUAAUAGACAAGAAGACCCUAUCGAGCUUUAGAUAUUUUAAUUGGUUAUAGGCUAGAUCAGUUGAGAAGGGGAACUAUUAAAUGUCUUUGGUUGGGGCGACUGAGGAACAUGUAAAGCUUCCUUUGGUGUUAUUUAGACAUACGGGUAUUGAUCCAAAAAUAUUGAUUAAAGGAAUUAGUUACCGUAGGGAUAACAGCAUUAUCUUUUUUGAGAGUUCUUAUCGAAAAAAGGGUUUGUGACCUCGAUGUUGGACCAGAAUGUCCUAAAGAUGUAGAAGUCUUUGAGGGUUGGUCUGUUCGACCAUUAAAAUUCUA
rnacentral:rRNA from 1 species